UUAUUAUAUAUACACACACACACACAUAAAAAUAUGCUUACUAUGACAUAUAUAUGAUAUAUAGACAUUAUAUAGAUAUAAGUCUAUAUAUCAUAUUAAUAUACACAUAUAAUUAUUAUUAUUUUUUUAAUUAACAUUAACUUUAAUUUUUUAUUUUACACUAGCAGGGAGACUGCCUGUCAGAACGCCAAAAGCGCGCACACAAGGGCCACCCAGAACUCGCUCAACUCCCAUCAAGCCAAGUUCCCGGAGGAGAUCACCCAGCUCGUCAUGCUAGAGCACUUUUUCAAUGUGCUCCCCAACGAGAAAGCGACAACGGAUUCGUAUGUCAAUCCAUAUAAAGUUUAGAUGCCAUUGACUGCGCCUACCAUGGUGACCACAAGAAACAGGGAAUCAGGGUUCGAUUCCAUACAGGGACCCUGACAAACGGCUACCACAUGCAAGGAAGGCAGCAGACGCGCAAAUGACCCACUCCUGCGCGGGAAGGUAGUGACGACAAAUAACAAUACAGGACUCUUUAGAGGCCCUGUAAUUGUAAUGAGUCCACUUGAAAUCCUUUAACUCUAAUCAAUUGGAGGGAAGUCUGGUGCAGAGCCACUGACCCGUGCGUGCUGCAGCUGAAACUCCACUAUCUCCUG